UUGAGCAGGGUAAGCCGACCCCUAAGGCGAGGCCGAAAGGCGUAGUCGAUGGGAACCAGGUUAAUAUUCCUGGGCCAGGAGGAUGUGACGGAUCUCGAAGAUUGUUGUCCCUUAUCGGAUUGGGAUGGCCGUUCAGAGGUUCCUGGAAAUAGCCCUCCGCUAGAUCGUACCCUAAACCGACACAGGUGGACUGGUAGAGAAUACCAAGGCGCUUGAGAGAACGAUGUUGAAGGAACUCGGCAAAAUACCUCCGUAAGUUCGCGAGAAGGAGGCCCGUUCUGUACGCAAGUAUGGGGCGGGGGCACAAACCAGGGGGUGCGACUGUUUACUAAAAACACAGGGCUGUGCGAAGCCGCAAGGCGACGUAUACAGUCUGACGCCUGCCCGGUGCUGGAAGAUUAAGAGGAGGGGUGCAAGCUCUGAAUUGAAGUCCCAGUAAACGGCGGCCGUAACAAUAACGGUCCUAAGGUAGCGAAAUUCCUUGUCGGGUAAGUUCCGACCUGCACGAAUGGCGUAACGACUUCCCCGCUGUCUCCAACAUCGACUCAGCGAAAUUGAAUUGCCGGUCAAGAUGCCGGCUACCCGCGGUUAGACGGAAAGACCCCAUGCACCUUUACUCUAGCUUCACAUUGGCAUCAGGCCAGGCAUGUGCAGGAUAGGUGGUAGGCUUUGAAGCCGGGACGCCAGUCUCGGUGGAGCCAUCCUUGAGAAACCACCCUUGCUUUGCUUGAUGUCUAACCGCGGUCCGUCAUCCGGAUCCGGGACCCUGUGUGGUGGGGAGUUUGACUGGGGCGGUCGCCUCCCAAAUCGUAACGGAGGCGCGCGAAGGUUGGCUCAGAGCGGUCGGAAAUCGCUCGUUGAGUGCAAUGGCAUAAGCCAGCCUGACUGCAAGACUGACAAGUCGAGCAGAGACGAAAGUCGGCCAUAGUGAUCCGGUGGUCCCAAGUGGGAGGGCCAUCGCUCAACGAAUAAAAGGUACGCUGGGGAUAACAGGCUGAUACUGCCCAAGGGUCCAUAUCGACGGCAGUGUUUGGCACCUCGAUGUCGGCUCAUCUCAUCCUGGGGCUGGAGCAGGUCCCAAGGGUAUGGCUGUUCGCCAUUUAAAGAGGUACGUGAGCUGGGUUUAGAACGUCGUGAGACAGUUCGGUCCCUAUCUUCCGUGGGUGUAGGAUAUUUGAGAAGAGUUGACCCUAGUACGAGAGGACCGGGUUGAACGAACCACUGGUGGACCAGUUGUCGUGCCAACGGCAGUGCUGGGUAGCUAUGUUCGGACAGGAUAACCGCUGAAGGCAUCUAAGCGGGAAGCCCCCUUCAAAACAAGAUAUCCCUGAGGACCGUGAAAGACCAUCACGUCGAUAGGCCGGAGAUGUAAGCGCAGCAAUGCGUUCAGUUGACCGGUACUAAUCGUUCA
rnacentral:rRNA from 1 species